UUCGAUACCGCUUAGAUCAGUUCGAUCGUGCAACGCACAAGAGACAGUUCGGGCGAAUUCGAAAGCGCUACAAAAUACUGCUUAUCUAGAUAACACAGUACAGUAAAAAUAAAGGUUAAAUGUUUUACAAACUCACAUACAUGCAAAAAGAGUAAUACAUUUGUGAUUAAUGCAAUUAACACUUUGAUAACUAAAUCGGUAAAAAGUCGCCUUGAGUGGUGAAUUAUUUCGAACAGCUGAAUUCUAAGUUAAAUUGGUGCAUAAUUUUCAUUUGGGUAAAAACUUUAACGAAAUUAUGGAGCACAUUUCAAAAGAAUAUUAAAAUGAUUUGCCUGAGCAACACGACCAAAUAAUAAACAAUUAUAAAUUUAAUGUAAGGUUAAAUAGGCUUCAAAAGCAAGCGAAACAUUCGGCAGCAAUUUGUUAGUGCUCAUCGAAACGAAUAGCAUGAAUUCAUGCUUCAGUGAAACGGUUUCAAUCAGUGUUUAUCUCAUAAAAACACCGUUUAUUUUGUUUGCUUUGUCCCACUUUGACAGUCCAGUGUGUGUAAAAACAAAUUGGAAUAGUUAACAAUACGGCUGAAGCAUGUUUGUCUUUGGCCGUCGGCCACAGGCGAACUGCAGCUGGUUGAGCAAUGGGGUCCUGGCUUUGUCACUUCUGCAGUUGAUACUCUUGGGCCGUGCACAUUUCAUACAGAUCGAUCAUAAUGCUUUUCGUAAUAAUUAUUUCCCUCGUCCACCCAUUGAUCCACCAGCACCAGCGCCCCCAUCGUUGACUCAAGCAGAGCAGCUGUCACGACAUUUCGACGGCAGACAGCUGUCGCCAGCCGAACUUAUGGCCGAUUUGAGCAACGAUCUCACUUACCGCAUCCUUCAUUACCACUCGAUACUCAACAGAAACAACUUUGCAUUUUCGCCCACUGCACUGAUGAGUGUGUUAAUCGCCCUUUAUGAGGGUUCGGCAGGCCGGAGUGCUCUGGAAUUGCACAAGGUGUUGAUGCUUCCAAACGGUCGGGAUGUCAUUCGUGUAGGCUAUCGUGACAUUCAUCGCAGAUUAAGGACAUACUUUUUUGGUUCCGAGAACCCGCUCAAAGGUCUAAGCCUCAACAAAGAUAAUGUAACCAUUACUCAUGGGUAUGAAACGGUUUUAACAUUUUAUGGAUAUGAUUUGGGAAUGGAUAUGGUAUCCUCUACCGUCUCUUCGACGUCUUCUACAACACCCUUCUCGAAUGCAACCGAUGAAAUUACAAUGGCAACAACUGCAAGCGCCCCAAAAACUUCUACAACAAUUGUUCCAAGCUCCACAAUGGAAAACAAUACUGAAAAAAUAUCGACGGAAGAAAACAAUAAUGUCACCACGACAAAACCGGAAACAACAUCUUCUCUUACAACCACAGAAACUGAAACUGUUGCUAAAACAACAACUGAAGAUAAACCAACAACAGAAAAAAUUACCACAACAACUGAAAUGUUAACCACAGAAGAAGUUACCACAGUGACACCACCAACAAGAACGACAACAACUGAAGAGUUCACCGCCGAAACAAAUGAUGACACAACAACAGCAACUACCGCACCAAUAACAGAAAACAGCGAUGAUGCGGCAGAGUUCGUAUCUCCAACACCCAUUGAAUUUAACUCAAAUCCAUUUCAACGGUUACAAAAGAUGCAACCAAUACAUACACCAAGCUCAAAACUGCAGGCGCCUCUAUCGCCAAUUUCAACACCGAAACAUAAUUAUUUGCCACAGUACGCGCGUUCUCGAAGUGGUCGACAUAAGCGUCAUUCAACUGGUUUUAAAGAGAUUGACACAAAUCUUUUCGUGACGCUCUUUAACCCUCAGCACCAGCUGCACCAUGAUUUGUAUACAAUAACUCAGCCAGUAACAGGGUCUGCCUCGCUGGGACAAUACACUAGUGAAUUUGAUGUCGAAACUUUAGAUGCACGACUUUUGAAAGUGGCCAAUGCCAGAAGUAAUUAUGGCUACAAUACCGAUGUUAUUAGCCACGUAUUCUACUUGGGGAACCAACAGCUAGUUCACACUACGUUCAAGGUCUACAAUGCAGUGCUGUAUUUUAAGUAUUUUGAAGAUUUAAAAAUGAGCGCUCUUGAACUAGAAUUGGACACACCGGAUUAUAACUUGAUAAUUUUGCUCCCAGAUUCUCCAGUAGAUUUAAUAUCAACUACGGCUUCGCUUGGUUUGGGCCCAUCUUUACGACUGAUAAGAAAACAACUAAAACCAAGAUGGGUUCAAGCGAUAAUUCCGGACUUUAAACUACACGGAAUAAUAUUCCUAACCAAUGACCUCCAAAACAUGGGUGUGUGUGAUAUAUUUGAACCAAAUCGUGCAGAUUUUCGUCCCAUGACAGAGGAAAAGGGUAUUUAUGUAAAACACAUUGAACAAUCGAUUAACGUUAAUAUACGUACGCAUCCAAUAAACCAGUUAAAGCGUAAUUACGGACCGCAAACGUCACCUAUUCAGAUAUCUGUAAACCAUCCCUUUCUAUUUUUUGUAAUUGACCGAGACCUAGAUAUUGCUGUAAUGGCCGGUCGUAUUUUAAAUCCUUUGAAUGUACGAAUACAGUAGUGUCAAACAGACGACAGUAACAACAGUACGCCGUACUUCUAUCAAAUGUAGUCAAUUUUGGAGAUUAUGCAACCAUGGUGGUGAAAUUGAAUAAUAAGUAUGAACACAGUAGGUGGUUAACUAUAAAUAGAAGCAGGAUAUGAAAGCUAAUUCAAAACUAAAUCGUGGGUUAGGAUAGUGAAAAAUUAAAUAUGGAAAUAUACUAAAUUCGAA